GGUCGCUUAGCUCAGUUGGGAGAGCGUCUGCCUUACAAGCAGAGGGUCAUAGGUUCGAGUCCUAUAGCGACCACCA
rnacentral:tRNA from 1 species